AACGUAGGAGACGAACGUUAUCCGGAGUUACUGGGCGUAAAGGGCGGGUAGGUGGUGCGAUAAGACUGGUGUGAAAGCCUUCGGCUUAACCGAGGGAGGACACUGGUGACUGUCGGACUUGAGGCAGAUAGAGGGGUGUAGAAUUCCGGGUGUAGUGGUGAAAUGCGUAGAGAUCCGGAGGAAUACCAGAGGCGAAGGCGGCACCCUGGGUCUGACCUGACACUGAUCCGCGACAGCAUGGGGAGCGAACGGG
rnacentral:rRNA from 1 species